CGUGUUGAAGUUCGGGUUAGAUGAAUUGAGAUGGGUAUUGAACGAUCGAGUGGAAUCAAGUUGAAUUUAAGAUGGAAUCAAGUUUCAAGUGAUGAAGUAAUAAUUUAGAGAAAAUUUGGGGUUUCCAAUUGAACCGUGGAUAUAUUAUGAGCCUGUGAUGACAUGCUGCUGAAUUGGAUCAAGGUGAAGAGAAGUUUGGUUUUAAUUGCUUGAUCAAGACUAAAUUGAGGUAAUUGUUAUUCUCUAUAGUUUUAGUAAAGUUAUUUGAUUCUUAUUUUGAAGUUGUGUGAUUGUUAAUGGAUUCAUAGUUGAGUUAGAUAAAUGGGGUAUGGAUUUGGAUGUUGUGGGGUUAUUUGGCAGUGUAGGUAGCGGUUGGCAAUGGAAUGUGUUUGGACUGGAGAUGAAUUGUUGUUGCAGAAGAAAUCGAGUUCCACAGUGGUGUUUCGUAUCUAUUUGUGAUGUUUAUGGAGUUGCGGUGUUGAAAUUAUGAAAUGAUUGUGAAGCUAAGAACUGAAUGAUUGUGGUGAUUGUGUUAUGGAGCUAUGGUAAGUAGCUUAGACAUGCGUUUAACUACAGGGAACAAAAAGUGGAUGUUAUUGUUGAGCUUUGUAUUGAUUGAAGUUCAUUUGAAUGGUUGUUUGUAGAGUUGAGAAGUAGAGGUGUUUUUUUGAAGUAAGGUUAUUCAAGAAGAACUGAACUGAGAUUUCUGUUAAGGAAGUAAUCUGUUGUUGGGGGAGAGUGGUGAACUGAGUAUGAAUUGUAGUAUGGGAUUGAGAAAAUGAAGAGUAUUUAGAAUGGGGAUUUAGAAUUGUAUAUAGUGUUUGUUGUAAAAGCUUGGAAAAGAUGCAGUUACAGUUAGUCUGUAUUAACAAAGAUCGAUGCAAAGGAUGAACCAGUGGAUCGUGGAUCUCGAGGUAGGCGUGGCUUGUCAUCAAAAGAGUUAUCAGAAGAGUCGGUGCGCAUGAAGAUAUUUAUUUUUGUAGCUUAACGUUUGGACGAAUCGAAGAUAUUUAUAUAUCGUUUAUAUAUGCAUUUUUUAUUAAUUUGUUAAACAACACAUUAUUGUAUUCUUAUCACUUGAGAUAUUUUCAUUUACGUUAUAUAAGAGUGUUGGGUUAGUUUUGGGUUA